CGACGCCAGAUCCGGUCCUCUCCCACCUGAAGCCCCUAGCAGCAGGCCCCAUCCUUCGCGAAGACCGUGGCGCCGCAGUACCCACAUCCUGCACAAGGCCAUGCGCUCAUGCCUCUGAAAGGUUGCAGUAUUUUGGUGAAGAGAUCCAAAUUUGUGGUGUAUCCAUUAAAGACUGAAAAUAGUUGCAAUCUUCUGGGUAUUGCACACCAAGAUAAUAAGGCCAGAAAGUACAAGCAAUCUGUCAUGUUAAAUGGAGCAGCACCAGUGACAAAUUUGUUGGUUUAAAUCAGUAACUUUUGUGAAAUGGGCCUCUUUUGUGAAGUUGGGAGUCUGUUUGGUGAACCUUGAAGCGAUGGACUUGUUGUUGGUGAAGGAUGCAGUUAAGAUCUUUUAUAGAGUAAUUUAGAUAUGUGAUGUUGAGACUUGAGAGUGAGAAGGCCUCUCCUUUCGUGUAGUUGGUGUUCUGCUCGGAACACUGGGACCAAAAGACUUGCUGCAUAGUCAACAUGUGAACUGAUAUGUAGUCCUAUUUGUAUAAGGAAUUAGAUGAUCACAUGUGAUGGCAAGAUGUAAGCUGAUUACUGCUGCAUUGUGAUUGUGAUGGCAAGAUGCAUAUUUAC